rnacentral:rRNA from 1 species
AGGGAAUCUUCCACAAUGGACGCAAGUCUGAUGGAGCAACGCCGCGUGAGUGAAGAAGGUUUUCGGACCGUAAAGCUCUGUUGUUGGUGAAGAAGGAUAGAGGUAGUAACUGGCCUUUAUUUGACGGUAAUCAACCAGAAAGUCACGGCUAACUACGUGCCAGCAGCCGCGGUAAUCGUAGGUGGCAAGCGUUGUCCGGAUUUAUUGGGCGUAAAGCGAGCGCAGGCGGAAGAAUAAGUCUGAUGUGAAAGCCCUCGGCUUAACCGAGGAAUUGCAUCGGAAACUGUUUUUCUUGAGUGCAGAAGAGGAGAGUAGAACUCCAUGUGUAGCGGUGGAAUGCGUAGAUAUAUGGAAGAAUACCAGUGGCGAAGGCGGCUCUCUGGUCUGCAACUGACGCUGAGGCUCGAAAGCAUGGGUAGCGAACAGGAUUAGAUACCCUGGUAGUCCAUGCCGUAAACGAUGAGUGCUAAGUGUUGGGAGGCUUCCGCCUCUCAGUGCUGCAGCUAACGCAUUAAGCACUCCGCCUGGG